rnacentral:rRNA from 1 species
CCGGGGAGGCGGGGCGCUAUAAUGCAGUCGAGCGGACAGAUGGGAGCUUGCUCCCUGAUGUUAGCGGCGGACGGGUGAGUAACACGUGGGUAACCUGCCUGUAAGACUGGGAUAACUCCGGGAAACCGGGGCUAAUACCGGAUGGUUGUCUGAACCGCAUGGUUCAGACAUAAAAGGUGGCUUCGGCUACCACUUACAGAUGGACCCGCGGCGCAUUAGCUAGUUGGUGAGGUAACGGCUCACCAAGGCGACGAUGCGUAGCCGACCUGAGAGGGUGAUCGGCCACACUGGGACUGAGACACGGCCCAGACUCCUACGGGAGGCAGCAGUAGGGAAUCUUCCGCAAUGGACGAA